GGGAAUCGGAACACAGGUGCUGCAUGGCUGUCGUCAGCUCGUGUCGUGAGGUGUUGGGUUAAGUCCCGCAACGAGCGCAACCCUUAUCAUUAGUUGCUACGCAAGGGCACUCUAAUGAGACUGCCGGUGACAAACCGGAGGAAGGUGGGGAUGACGUCAAGUCCUCAUGGCCCUUAUGGGUAGGGCUUCGACACGUCAUACAAUGGUCGGUACAGAGGGUUGCCAAGCCGCGAGGCGGAGCCAAUCCCACAAAGCCGGUCUCAGUUCGGAUCGGAGUCUGCAACCCGACUCCGUGAAGCUGGAUUCGCUAGUAAUCGCGCAUCAGCCAUGGCGCGGUGAAUACGUUCCCGGGCCUU
rnacentral:rRNA from 1 species